rnacentral:pre_miRNA from 1 species
AAAGUACUCCCUCCAUCCCAAAAUUAUUGUCUUAGAUUUGUCUAGAUACGGAUGUAUCAAGUCACAUUUUAGUAUUAGAUACAUCCGUAUCUAGGCAAAUCUAAGACAAGAAAUUUGGGACAGAGGGAGUAGUUG